GGGGAAUUUUCCGCAAUGGGCGAAAGCCUGACGGAGCAAUACCGCGUGAGGGAGGAAGGCUCUUGGGUUGUAAACCUCUUUUCUCAGGGAAUAAAAAAGAAGGUACCUGAGGAAUAAGCAUCGGCUAACUCCGUGCCAGCAGCCGCGGUAAUACGGAGGAUGCAAGCGUUAUCCGGAAUGAUUGGGCGUAAAGCGUCCGCAGGUGGUAUUUCAAGUCUGCCGUCAAAGAGUUUGGCUCAACCAAAUAAAGGCAGUGGAAACUGAAAAACUAGAGUGCGCUCGGGGUAGAGGGAAUUCCUGGUGUAGCGGUGAAAUGCGUAGAGAUCAGGAAGAACACCGGUGGCGAAAGCGCUCUACUAGGCCGCAACUGACACUGAGGGACGAAAGCUAGGGGAGCGAAUGGGAUUAGAUACCCCAGUAGUCCUAGCCGUAAACGAUGGGUACUAGGCGUUGCUUGUAUCGACCCGAGCAGUGCCGUAGCUAACGCGUUAAGUACCCCGCCUGGGGAGUACGCACGCAAGUGUGAAACUCAAAGGAAUUGACGGGGGCCCGCACAAGCGGUGGAGUAUGUGGUUUAAUUCGAUGCAACGCGAAGAACCUUACCAGGGCUUGACAUGUCGCGAAUCUCCUUGAAAGGGGAGAGUGCCUUCGGGAGCGCGAACACAGGUGGUGCAUGGCUGUCGUCAGCUCGUGUCGUGAGAUGUUGGGUUAAGUCCCGCAACGAGCGCAACCCUCGUUUUUAGUUGCCAGCACUUAGGGUGGGCACUCUAAAGAGACUGCCGGUGACAAACCGGAGGAAGGUGGGGAUGACGUCAAGUCAGCAUGCCCCUUACGUCCUGGGCUACACACGUACUACAAUGCAACGGACAAAGGGCAGCAAGCUAGCAAUAGCAAGCAAAUCUCGUAAACCGUUGCUCAGUUCAGAUCGAAGGCUGCAACUCGCCUUCGUGAAGGUGGAAUCGCUAGUAAUUGCAGGUCAGCAUACUGCAGUGAAUUCGUUCCCGGGCCUUGUACACACCGCCCGUCACACCAUGGAAGCUGGUAGUGCCCGAAGUCAUUACCCCAACUAUUCGUAGAGGGGGAUGCCUAAGGCAGGACUGGUGACUGGGGUGAAGUCGUAACAAGGUAGCCGUACCGGAAGGUGUGGCUGGAUCACCUCCU
rnacentral:rRNA from 1 species